GAAGUGGUUGGACUACUGGAACCUUACAUGUCCACUUUGUCGAACUCCACUAGUGCCCGAAGAAGACACAGCUUCCUGCUUUUGGUGAGCAUUAUGAAUAUUAUGGUUGAGGAAUCUCAUUCCAUGUACAGCACCAUAGUGUAGAUAAUCUUAAAAGUGCAUCCGCAGGCCGUAGCAUUUGUAUCUUUCAUAUGCAUGAGGAGUUGAAGCGUGAUGAAUGUGGAUGGGUCUCAGACCCCA
rnacentral:misc_RNA from 1 species